rnacentral:rRNA from 1 species
AACGAACGCUGGCGGCAGGCUUAACACAUGCCAGUCGAACGCCCCGCAAGGGGAGUGGCCGACGGGUGAGUACCGCGUGGGAACAUACCCUUUUCUACGGAAUAGCUCUGGGAAACUGGAAUUAAUACCGUAUACGCCCUACGGGGGAAAGAUUUAUCGGGGAAGGAUUGGCCCGCGUUGGAUUAGCUAGUUGGUGGGGUAAAGGCCUACCAAGGCGACGAUCCAUAGCUGGUCUGAGAGGAUGAUCAGCCACAUUGGGACUGAGACACGGCCCAAACUCCUACGGGAGGCAGCAGUGGGGAAUAUUGGACAAUGGGCGCAAGCCUGAUCCAGCCAUGCCGCGUGAGUGAUGAAGGCCUUAGGGUUGUAAAGCUCUUUCACCGAUGAAGAUAAUGACGGUAGUCGGAGAAGAAGCCCCGGCUAACUUCGUG